ACUGCUCAGUAACACGUGGCUAAUCUGCCCUUGGGACCGGAACACCCCCGGGAAACUGGGGCUAAUUCUCGAUAGGUGAAGAACUCUGGAAUGAGUCUUCGCCAAAAAGACGUUUACGUUAUGCUCGUAGGCGUCGCCCAAGGAUGAGGCCGCGACCGAUCAGGUUGUUGGUGAGGUAAUGGCUCACCAAGCCUUUUACCGGUGCGGGCCGUGAGAGCGGGAGCCCGGAGAUGGGCACUGAGACAAGGGCCCAGGCCCUACGGGGCGCAGCAGUCGCGAAAACUUUGCAAUACACGAAAGUGUGACAGGGCUAUCCCGAGUGCCAUCCGCUGAGGAAGGCUUUUACCCAGUCUAGAACGCUGGGGGAAUAAGGAGAGGGCAAGUCUGGUGUCAGCCGCCGCGGUAAUACCAGCUCUCCGAGUGGUGUGGAUGUUUAUUGGGCCUAAAGCAUCCGUAGCUGGCUAAGUUAGUCCCUUGUUAAAUCCACCGAAUUAAUCGUUGGAUUGCGGGGGAUACUGCUUGGCUAGGGGACGAGAGAGGCAGACGGUAUUUCCGGGGUAGGGGUGAAAUCCUAUAAUCCCGGGAAGACCACCAGUGGCGAAGGCUGUCUGCUAGAACGCGCCCGACGGUGAGGGAUGAAAGCUGGGGGAGCGAACCGGAUUAGAUACUCGGGUAGUCCCAGCUGUAAACGAUGCAGGCUAGGUGUUUGGACGGCCACGUGCCGUUCUAGUGCCGCAGGGAAGCUGUUAAGCCUGCCGCCUGUGGAGUACGAUCGCAAGAUUGAAACUUAAAGGAAUUGGCGGGGGAGGAC
rnacentral:rRNA from 1 species